rnacentral:tRNA from 1 species
GCCUGAGUAGCUCAGUGGUAGAGCACGUCAUUGGUAAUGACGAUACGAGAGUUCGAUUCUCUCCCCAGGCU